GCCUUCCAUUAUUUAUAUUUGUAAUGUAAUAAGCUUAAUAAGCUCAUAAAUCGCACGUUAUCACUUUUGUGUUUUACGAAGUGAUUGUUAUGGUUAUUUUUUGAGUUAAUUAUAAUGUGGCGCCCAACUAAUGUUAUCAAUUAAGUUAUAUGUAAAUUCUAUUGAGAUCUGAACGUACUCUAAAAGAUUAUUGGGGAUAUUUUUGAGUCAAGGUUGUCUUGUGACAUCCCAGGAAUGUUUCAGGUCUUCUGGGAUUUCAAAUAGUGUAUUAAGUACGUAUAUCAGUUUAGAAAGUUACAAAAGGAAACCCGUUCACCAGGCCGAGCAUUUUAACUCUGCCGUAAGAUUAUAUAGUUACCGUGGCGCAGGAACGGUACACGAUUUUAAAAGGAGAUUUCGACAUGAAAGAUUUUUUUUAAUUUUCGUGUUGUAACCCAGUAUCUUCAAUAUUGCGGAGGGUUGUUGGGUGGGGUCAGAAAUAAAACAGAAACCUGUUUACCUAAAUGUCGACUUUUCGACUUAUAUUAAGUCAUAGUAGAGUAAAUUUGGUGAGAAAAGUCGCUUAGUUCUCGAGAAAAAAAAAACCGGCGUACAACCAAAGGAGACUUGGUGGAAUCCAUUAAUAAUGUAAUUGCCAGAGUUGUGUUUUUGGCGGCGGCGGCGGGCUAUAAAUAGUAUUGCAGUAUUAUUGUAUUAUUCGUACGCACCUGCAGUAUUAAUCGGAAGUCAUUUCUACUAGACUGAGUUGUUUCAUGUUUGUGUUAUUAUUUACUUUUGCCCAAGACAAUGAAUAAGAAAACUGUGUAUAAUAGUGACAAAUCUAUGAUACAAAACCCAAGAAUACAAGGUUUGCUGUCUUUAAUAUCAAGUGCAAAAAAAAGGCAAGAUAAUAUUGGAAAAGAAAUUCUGGCAAAAAAAAUGGCACACUAACAGUAAAAUAUCAUAUAGACUGUCGUAAAUCUUACACGAGUUUUCAAAAUAUUGAUAAUAGUAAUAAUAGGGAGUUAGAAAGUGGUGCCAGUCCUUCGAACUAUUCCGCUAAGCGUUUUAGGUCCAAUGGUUUUGAUGUUAGGAAAAUGUGCCUUAUUUGCAACAGUAGUGGAACUAAAAAAAAAAGAAAAACUUGGUUGCCGUUCAAACAGUAAAAAAAAUAUAAUCAUUCUUCAAAAAUUGUCUGAUUUGCCAUUGCUAUCUAAUGAAGAGGCAUUAAAGAUUGUAACAAAGCUAGUCCUUCUAUUAUAUAGAAAUAAAGAUAAAGAUGUCCAGAAAUUAAUCGAUCUAAGGGUUAAGCUAGCGACAUUAACAAAUAAACCAUCAUCGGAACUUCCUCCAACUGAAGGUGCUUUUUAUCAGCAUUUUUUAAGGUAAACAAAUUUUUAUUUCUACUAGACUGAGUUGUUUCAUGUUUAUGUUAUUAUUUACUUUUGCCCAAGACAAUGAAUAAGAAAACUGUGUAUAAUAGUGACAAAUCUAUGAUACAAAACCCAAGAAUACAAGGUUUGCUGUCUUUAAUAUCAAGUGCAGAAAAAAGGCAAGAUAAUAUUGGAAAAGAAAUUCUGGCAAAAAAAAUGGCACACUAACAGUAAAAUAUCAUAUAGACUGUCGUAAAUCUUACACGAGUUUUCAAAAUAUUGAUAAUAGUAAUAAUAGGAAGUUAGAAAGUGGUGCCGGUCCUUCGAAUUAUUCCGCUAAGCGUUUUAGGUCCGAUGGUUUUGAUGUUAGGAAAAUGUGCCUUAUUUGCAACAGUAGUGAACUAAAAAAAAAAGAAAAACUUGGUUGCCGUUCAAACAGUAAAAAAAAUAUUAUCAUUCUUCAAAAAUUGUCUGAUUUGCCAUUGCUAUCUAAUGAAGAGGCAUUAAAGAUUGUAACAAAGCUAGUCCUUCUAUUAUAUAGAAAUAAAGAUAAAGAUGUCCAGAAAUUAAUCGAUCUAAGGGUUAAGCUAGCGACAUUAACAAAUAAACCAUCAUCGUAACUUCCUCCAACUGAAGGUGCUUUUUUAUCAGCAUUUUUUAAGGUGUAUGUAUCAACUUCGAAUAUGGUAUAGCAGUGAUAUCCCAAUGCCAAGUAUAAAAUACAAACGCGUCAGGAUGGAAUUUAACUGAAGAUGUAUGGACUCCAGUUUUUUCGGAUGAUAAGCCAAUUCCAGAUUUUGUUCGAAAAUCAUUAAAUAUUUAUUGUUCUGAUAAAAACUUUAACAAUAAAAAAUGUACUUGCAUCAAAGAGGGUUUAAAAUGUUGUAUCGAGUGCAAAUGCCGUUUUUGUAGUAACGUUCUUGAAAAUAUCGAGAUGGAUGCGGAUGAUAACAACGAAUUAGAAUAUUAUUAGUGUAGCGUUUAUUAAACAACCACAACAUAACCAUUAUAUUUAGCUAUAUUUAUUUAUCCAAAUAAGAGUUUUAUUUCAGCAAAACUUGUUUAUACUCAUUUUUACUUCAAUAAUACAUGUAAGUAGGUAUGUACCUAUGUGUGAGGCAAUUAAUCCAUUUAUUUAUUUAGCAGUAAAUUAUCAUUUUUAAUUUACUUUAAAAAUGAUAAACCACUUAUUUAUUAUAAUAUAUAGAUCGGUACCUAUGUAUGUAUAUAUAUGGGUAUAUUAUACAUAUACAAAGCCAACUAAAUAUUUAAAAUGAAACACAUCAGUACGUACUUAUUAUUACAAACAGUCACUUCGAUACCCAAUCGUUGCAGCGGACUCGACAUGACAGCCGCGCUAAGCGCGCAAAUCCAAUUUUGCCCAUAAAAAAAAAUUCACUGACUCAAUACUAUCAAAGAUAUAUGAAAAAUGUUUUUUUCAAAAACUUUUAUUAACUAUUGUCUUCAUUUCAUACGCAGCAUGUAUACACAAUUUUCAUAAAAAAACUUUUUUGUCGAUUGCUCAAAAUUAUGCUUCUGAAAAUAACAAGUUUUAGUUUCCUAUUAUUUAACAAUUAAAAAAAAACAAAUUUGAAUAAACGUGAGAUGUUGUUUAAAGCGCUGUUGUUAUAGCUUUAAUCUAAAAAAAAAUGUACUUGAUAGCUCAAGUACUUUCAGAGAUAGAGCGAUGGAAACACAAAAAAAUGUGGAUUUCAUAAAAUCAAUUUUUUUGAAUUUUUUCCGGAUAAAAAACAUCUCGACCACCGGAAAAUGUCGUAAAACACGAUUUCAUAUGCCAUGUAACAUACUUAAUGAAACCCAACAUGUUUCACCAGGUUGUACUUCCAAAAAAAAAAUGACACCCUAGACCCCAGAAUUUACUCCACUAUCAUCCUCAGGACACUAAGUCUAGGUUUCUUUAGUUAUAAUUAAAAUACAUUUAUAAUAGGAGCGUAGAAUUAUUUUUAACAUGAGUUAAAUUAUAGGUGUUAUUAUGGGCAAACUAGAUCAACAAUGUUGAUUCUACGCCCAACAACCCGGUCCUUUUUUUAGUUUUUUUAAUUUUUAAAUCUUUAACAUCCUUUAAUUGAAAAAAAAAUAUUUUUAAAUUAUUAAAAGAAAUAAAAUAAAUUCUUUGAAGAAAAGCGAAAUUUCGAGAUAUUUUAUUAAAUAUUAUAAAUGUUUUUUUUUACGAAUCUACUAAAAAAUUAAAACAAAAUUAAUUACAAAUUUAAAAAAAAAUCAGCAAAAGUUUACAUUUAAAAAUAGUGAGGAAAA
rnacentral:lncRNA from 1 species